UUAAGGGUUUUGACUCAUGCUUGCCAUUAUUGAAUUCACCUGAAUUACUUUUACUGCAGCUGUGGCAUUUCCCACGCUCCUCUUCCCUGAGUCUUAAUGGUCUGGUGGAGCAGCUGCUAGUUUGCAGGCUGAAGGAAACUAAGGAAGUCAAGGAAUGGGAUUAGAGAAUUAGUACAACAGGUGUUGAUGCCAGUGAAUCUGUGGAACACUGCUUGAAGUCUUUACCCCAAUCUGUUGAUCAUAAAAUGAAAUGAAAAGACCUGACCUUAAGUACCUAAGUACAGACAGUGGUGGGAUAGGAAGGCGUGCAUGGGCUCAAAGAUCUUGUAUAGUGAGAACAAGAGGUCUAGCUGUCUUUUCAAGAAGAGAUACAAUAACAUAAAGAAGACUUGCUGGCUGCACUUUGUCUUUUCUGUGAAGAUGUAAAAUUGAACCAAUUAGUCCUGUGGUAGGUUAUUACUGGCAAAAAACAAACAAGAACAGUAAGCAUUGCAGAGUAAAAAUAACAUCUCUUGUUAAAGAAAUGUUAGAUGUUGCAGAAAGUGACUUUUGGAAUCUGCAUUCUCAGCAUUUUCUUUUAGGCACAGAGAUUUCAGUCUUGUUAGGUUUAGCACUUCUGUGGCCUGGAAAUGACUGGAGAAUUUUACAAUGGUUUUGUUUACAAGAAAUCUCUCAAGUCACCAAGGUAACUACUCUAAAAUUGCAUUUAUUCAGCUUAUCAUGUCAGAACAGGUCUAUUCUGAUGAACUUUUGAAUUACUUUCAAGGAACAUAAACCUGGUUGUUAACUGUUUUAUUAAGAUAAAUGCAUAAAUAUUAAAGUAGAUAUAAAAAAUAAAAUUAUUCUUUUAUUAAUAGUAAAUAAAGCAAACCAUUGGAGUGAAAGCUUGCCUUUAUCUGUUUGCUGGUACUGCUAUCCAAAGGUCUGGCUGUUAUUCUUUUACAUCCCGAAACACUUGAAUCAUCCUCUUGGCUUGUUUAAGAUGAACUGCUUCAAUAUUGCAGCUAAUAGGCUGUAGCUGUUGUGGUCAGUCCUGUAACUAUUGUUGGUUUAUUUGCUAUUUUCAAUAAAUGUUUCAC